AUUGAACGCUAGCGGCAUGCCUAACACAUGCAAGUCGAACGGCAGCACGAGGAGCUUGCUCCUUGUGGCGAGUGGCGGACGGGUGAGUAACGCGUAGGAAUCUACCUUAUAGUGGGGGAUAACCCGGGGAAACUCGGGCUAAUACCGCAUAAUCUCUACGGAGCAAAGUGGGGGACCUUUUAGGCCUCACGCUAUUAGAUGAGCCUGCGUCGGAUUAGCUAGUUGGUGGGGUAAAGGCCUACCAAGGCGACGAUCCGUAGCUGGUCUGAGAGGACGACCAGCCACACUGGGACUGAGACACGGCCCAGACUCCUACGGGAGGCAGCAGUGGGGAAUAUUGGACAAUGGGCGCAAGCCUGAUCCAGCAAUGCCGCGUGUGUGAAGAAGGCCCUCGGGUUGUAAAGCACUUUCAGUGGGGAAGAAAAAGUCGGAGAUAAUAUCUCCGAAAAUUGACGUUACCCACAGAAAAAGCACUGGCUAACUCCGUGCCAGCAGCAGCCGCGG
rnacentral:rRNA from 1 species